UACGUAGGGGGCAAGCGUUAUCCGGAUUUACUGGGUGUAAAGGGAGCGUAGACGGCCAUGCAAGCCUGGAGUGAAAGCCCGGGGCCCAACCCCGGGACUGCUCUGGGAACUGUGCGGCUGGAGUGCGGGAGGGGCAGGCGGAAUUCCUGGUGUAGCGGUGAAAUGCGUAGAUAUCAGGAGGAACACCGGCGGCGAAGGCGGCCUGCUGGACCGCGACUGACGUUGAGGCUCGAAAGCGUGGGGAGCAAACAGG
rnacentral:rRNA from 1 species